rnacentral:rRNA from 1 species
AUGAACGCUGGCGGCGUGCUUAACACAUGCAAGUCGAACGAUGAACCUCACUUGUGGGGGGAUUAGUGGCGAACGGGUGAGUAACACGUGAGUAACCUGCCCUUGACUCUGGGAUAAGCCUGGGAAACCGGGUCUAAUACUGGAUACGACCUUCUGGCGCAUGCCAUGUUGGUGGAAAGCUUUUGUGGUUUUGGAUGGACUCGCGGCCUAUCAGCUUGUUGGUGGGGUAAUGGCCUACCAAGGCGACGACGGGUAGCCGGCCUGAGAGGGUGACCGGCCACACUGGGACUGAGACACGGCCCAGACUCCUACGGGAGGCAGCAGUGGGGAAUAUUGCACAAUGGGCGCAAGCCUGAUGCAGCGACGCCGCGUGAGGGAUGAAGGCCUUCGGGUUGUAAACCUCUUUCAGUAGGGAAGAAGCCGGCUUUUGGGUUGGUGACGGUACCUGCAGAAGAAGCGCCGGCUAACUACGUG